CGCGAAAACUUUACGAUGCUGGAAACAGCGAUAAGGGGACCUCGAGUGCCAGGUUACAAAUCUGGCUGUCGUGAUGCCUAAAAAGCAUUGCAUAGCAAGGGCCGGGCAAGACCGGUGCCAGCCGCCGCGGUAACACCGGCGGCUCGAGUGGUAACCGUUAUUAUUGGGUCUAAAGGGUCUGUAGCCGGCCGGAUAAGUCUCUUGGGAAAUCCAGCAGCCCAACUGUUGGGCUUUCAGGAGAUACUGUCUGGCUCGAGGCCGGGAGAGGUGAGAGGUACUUCAGGGGUAGGGGUGAAAUCUUGUAAUCCUUGAAGGACCACCAGUGGCGAAGGCGUCUCACCAGAACGGACCUGACGGCAAGGGACGAAAGCUAGGGGCACGAACCGGAUUAGAUACCCGGGUAGUCCUAGCCGUAAACGAUACUCGCUAGGUGUCGGCCACGGUGCGACCGUUGUCGGUGCCGUAGGGAAGCCGUGAAGCGAGCCACCUGGGAAGUACGGCCGCAAGGCUGAAACUUAAAGGAAUUGGCGGGGGAGCAC
rnacentral:rRNA from 1 species